rfam:Hordeum vulgare subsp. vulgare, WGS project CAJW01000000 data, contig: morex_contig_1578035
AAAAUUCUUCCCCCGUUCUAAAAUUUUUGUUUUUGAUUUGUCUAGAUAUGAAUAUAUCUAGUCGUGUAUUAAUAUUUAGAUACAUUCAAUUCUAGACAAACAUAAGACAAGAAUUUUAGGACGGAGAAAGUAUAUC